AGAGUUUGAUCAUGGCUCAGGACGAACGCUGGCGGCGUGCCUAACACAUGCAAGUCGAACGGAGAAUUUCAAAGAGCUUGCUCUAAGAGAUUUUUAGUGGCGGACGGGUGAGUAACGCGUGGGUAACCUACCCAUAAAGCCGGGACAACCCUUGGAAACGAGGGCUAAUACCGGAUAAUCUUAAGUCUUGGCAUCAAGGCAUAAGGAAAGGUGGCCGAUAAGAAUGCUACCGAUUAUGGAUGGACCCGCGUCUGAUUAGCUGGUUGGUGGGGUAAAGGCCUACCAAGGCGACGAUCAGUAGCCGGCCUGAGAGGGUGAACGGCCACACUGGGACUGAGACACGGCCCAGACUCCUACGGGAGGCAGCAGUGGGGAAUCUUCCGCAAUGGACGAAAGUCUGACGGAGCAACGCCGCGUGUAUGAUGAAGGUCUUCGGAUUGUAAAGUACUGUCUUUGGGGAAGAACGAAGUACUUGAGAAAAUUGAGUACAAAUGACGGUACCCAAGGAGGAAGCCCCGGCUAACUACGUGCCAGCAGCCGCGGUAAUACGUAGGGGGCAAGCGUUGUCCGGAAUUAUUGGGCGUAAAGGGCGCGUAGGCGGAUAAUUAAGUCCGGUGUGAAAGAUCAGGGCUCAACCCUGAGAGUGCAUCGGAAACUGGCUAUCUUGAGGACAGGAGAGGAAA
rnacentral:rRNA from 1 species